UACGAAGGGGGCUAGCGUUGUUCGGAAUUACUGGGCGUAAAGCGCGCGCAGGCGGUCUUCCAAGUCAGUGGUGAAAGCCCGGAGCUCAACUCCGGAACUGCCAUUGAAACUGUGAGACUAGAGUACGAGAGAGGUGAGUGGAAUUCCCAGUGUAGAGGUGAAAUGCAUAGAUAUCGUCAAGAACACCGAUAGCGAAGGCAGCUUACUGGGCUGUAACUGACGCUGAGGCACGAAAGUGUGGGGAUCAAACAGG
rnacentral:rRNA from 1 species